CUAACAAGGAUUCCCCUAGUAACUGCGAGUGAAGCGGGAAAAGCUCAAAUUUAAAAGCUGGCGGUCUUUGGCCGUCCGCAUUGUAAUCUAGAGAAGUGUUACCCGCGUUGGACCGUGUACAAGUCUCCUGGAAUGGAGCGUCAUAGAGGGUGACAAUCCCGUCUUUGACACGGACUCCCAAGGCUUUGUGGUGCGCUCUCAAAGAGUCGAGUUGUUUGGGAAUGCAGCUCUAAAUGGGUGGUAAAUUCCAUCUAAAGCUAAAUAUUGGCGAGAGACCGAUAGCGAACAAGUACCGUGAGGGAAAGAUGAAAAGAACUUUGGAAAGAGAGUUAAACAGUACGUGAAAUUGCUGAAAGGGAAACGCUUGAAGUCAGUCGCGUCGUCCGGAGAUCAACCUUGCUUUUGCUGGGCGUACUCUCCGGUUGACGGGCCAGCAUCAGUUUUGGCCACUGGAAAAGGGCGGAGGAAAUGUGGCAUCUUCGGAUGUGUUAUAGUCUUCCGUCGUAUACAGUGGCUGGGACUGAGGAACUCAGCACGCCGCAAGGCCGGGAUUUAUCCACGUACGUGCUUAGGAUGCUGGCAUAAUGGCUUUAAUCGACCCGUCUUGAAACACGGACCAAGGAGUCUAACAUGCCUGCGAGUGUUUGGGUGGAAAACCCGAGCGCGUAAUGAAAGUGAAAGUUGAGAUCCCUGUCGUGGGGAGCAUCGACGCCCGGACCAGACCUUUUGUGACGGAUCUGCGGUAGAGCAUGUAUGUUGGGACCCGAAAGAUGGUGAACUAUGCCUGAAUAGGGUGAAGCCAGAGGAAACUCUGGUGGAGGCUCGUAGCGAUUCUGACGUGCAAAUCGAUCGUCAAAUUUGGGUAUAGGGGCGAAAGACUAAUCG
rnacentral:rRNA from 1 species